rnacentral:rRNA from 1 species
AUUGAACGCUGGCGGCAGGCCUAACACAUGCAAGUCGAACGGUAACAGAAAGCAGCUUGCUGCUUUGCUGACGCGUGGCGGACGGGGGAGAGAAGUCCGGGAAAAUGUCUGUUGGCGGGGGGUAACUAGUGGAAAAGGUAACGAUAAUAGCAUAACGUCCCAAGGCCAAAGAGGGGGACCUCUGGGCACCUUGCCCGCGUAUGUGCCCCGAUGGGGUUUGCUAGUAGGUGGGGUAACGGCUCACCCAGGGGACGAGCCCCAACUUGGCUGUGAGGAUGGACAGCCACACUGGAACUGAGACACGGUCCAGACUCCUACGGGAAGCAGCAGGGGGGAAUAUUUCACAAUGGGCGGAAGCCUGAUGCAGCCAUGCCGCGUGGAUGAAGAAGGCCUUCGGGUUGUAAAAUACUUUCAGCGGGGAGGAAGGAAGAAAAGUUAAAACCUUCGCUCAUUGGCGUUACCCGCAGAAGAAGCACCGGCUAACUCCGUU